AUAACGGAUUGAACCAGUUAUUUAUAGACUGAAUACAUAGGUUUAUAAAAGCAAACCCGGGGAACUGAAACAUCUAAGUACCCGGAGGAAAGGAAAUCAACAGAUACUCCCCUAGUAGCGGCGAGCGAACGGGGACCAGCCGAGCCAUGAUUGUGACUAGAAGGACCUGGAAAGGUCCGCCAUAGCGGGUGACAGCCCCGUAUAGGAAGCAAGAUUGGACGUAUUAAGUAGGGCGGGACACGUGAAAUCCUGUCUGAACAUGGGGGGACCACCCUCUAAGGCUAAGUACUCCUUACUGACCGAUAGUGAACCAGUACCGUGAGGGAAAGGUGAAAAGCACCCCGACGAGGGGAGUGAAACAGUUUCUGAAACCGGACGCCUACAAACAGUUGGAGCCUCCUUGAGAGGUGACAGCGUACCUUUUGUAUAAUGGGUCAUCGACUUGGUCUAUCUAGCAAGCUUAAGCCGUUAGGUGUAGGCGUAGCGAAAGCGAGUCUUAAUAGGGCGAAUGAGUUAGAUGGAUCAGACCCGAAACCGAGUGAUCUAGGCAUGAUCAGGAUGAAGGUAAGGUAACACUUACUGGAGGUCCGAACCCACACCUGUUGAAAAAGGUCGGGAUGAAUUGUGCCUAGGGGUGAAAGGCCAAUCAAACUCGGAGAUAGCUGGUUCUCUGCGAAAUCUAUUUAGGUAGAGCGUCAUCCGAAUACCCUCGGGGGUAGAGCACUGGAUGGGUAAUGGGG
rnacentral:rRNA from 1 species